UACAGAGGGUGCGAGCGUUAAUCGGAAUUACUGGGCGUAAAGCGUGCGUAGGCGGUCGUGUAAGUCGGGUGUGAAAGGCCCGGGCUCAACCUGGGAAUUGCAUUCGAGACUGCACGGCUGGAGUGCGGAAGAGGGAAGCGGAAUUUCCGGUGUAGCGGUGAAAUGCGUAGAUAUCGGAAGGAACAUCAGUGGCGAAAGCGGCUUCCUGGUCCAGCACUGACGCUCAGGCAAGAAAGUGUGGGGAGCAAACAGG
rnacentral:rRNA from 1 species